UCUCUCUCUUUCUCCCUGUAUCGCUACUUCCCCUGCUGCACCCGUGAAUACCGACCACUAACAUUGAAAUUCAUUCUUCCCCCUUUCUAAUAUCACCACCAUCGAAGUAUCUUUCUGUCUGUAGAACCCCAAAAGCAAAACCUAAUGGUCGUUGCAGCUGGUCCGAUCUCCUUGGUGUCUGUAAGAAGAGGAAAUCAAGAAAUUAUCAUGGGUUUUCAUUAUUGAGAGUUAAGAAGAGGAAUUUGAAAUUGAUUCUCAAAUUACAGCGAAGGAAUUAGAGGAUUAGGUUUCGUUUUACGUCUAAGAUUAAGAAGUUAAUUGAGAAAACUAGGGUUUUGGUUGUGCUACAAAUCGAAGAAUUAAACGGAAUCAAUAAAUGGGUUUAUUUUAAUUAGGUUUAGAAUUGGUUUAUUAAUGGAUUCGAGUUUUAUGGAUUAGGGUUUCUAACAGAUUGGGGAUUUAGGGUUCAUGGAUUUGAAUUACAGAUGAAAAAGAUGAAACUGAUGGUGAGAAAUUAUAAGAAGAAAAUUGAGUUUGUGUCUGAGGAAAAAGUUUUUAUAGGAGGAUAAUUGUUGCAGGUGGUGGUGGUUUAAUGAGCUACAGAACUAUGAAGAUUGUGAUGGUGAUGGAAUUGAAAUAAUAAUUCGGUUGAUGUGGUAUUGAAUGAGCUACAAGAGUUUAUCUUAGUUUGGUUUAGAUUGUAAUGAUUUGAAUGGUGAUGGUUGAGUAUUGGUUGUGCUGAGAUGCUUUUGAUGAUGAUGCUAUAGUCAGUCAUAAUGGUUGUGACUGAAAGAUAUUGGAAUGAAUAAUGUUGCUGCUGUGAAGAUGGUGGUUUAAAUGUCUAUGUGGCUGAAUGAUAGUGAUUUGAAGGAAUGACGCUAAUAUGAAGAGAUUUGAAAUGUUCAUAAAUUUUAGGUCAAGUGAGUUUCAACUUAUUCACGAGCUAUGCCUAUAUGUGCUAUCUGCAUCUCAAAGAACUGAGCUAUAAGAGCAACACUGGAUACGUUGCACUCUUUCCUUUCAUGGUUUCCUAUGGGAUACAUAUUUGAAUCCCCACUGGUUUGCGCACUAAUUACUAGACUGUUGCCAUUUUUUGUUUCAAAUAAUGAAAAUUUAGAACGAUAAAAAAAAGUUCAUGUCUAGUAAAACACUAUCUUUUAAUCAAUAUUGGCGUCUCUUUCUUCCAAUCUUCUGUAGGUUAAUUGACUUAUGCAUUUUUAUUUUCCUUUUUUUUGGAUAUAUUAUAGCUAAAGACACUUUUGAAUUUCUUUCUAUGGAAGGGUGUGGCAACAUAUAGGAAUCUUACUCUCCAAUGUUUGUCUGAGGUAGCUUCCCUUCAGUUUAGAGACUUCUAUAACAUGAAGUAUGUGAAAAUGUACACUGUUUUUAUUUCACAAUUACAGCCUUAUAGGGAUGGAGUUUGAGUCUAAUAUAUUGAGUUUAAUGCUGGAGAUGAGGUGGCGGUGUUUAGUUCAUGUAGUAAACAUGCUUAUGUAUCCUUCUAUUUAUAAUGUUUGGUGCAAAUUACGAGGUAUGUGAUGCAUUUUUCCUUCGUCAUUGAAGAGAUUCACCUUCCCAUAGUUAAAGAACCAAAAGAAUCUAUCCCUUGCAUGCUAUACAUUUCCUUAACCUCUUUAUCAGACUUCCCAGCAACUCAAGACUGAGUGCAUCACUAGUCAGCUCUUCCUUCUUCACUGGGCUUAGCAGAAGCACAUGAUCCCUCCAUUGUAGAGACACUACUUCCAAAACACAUAAGGUCUUAUUUUCGUAGUUGAAAGCAAUGACAGAGACCGUGUUAUUGAGGCAAGGGAUGAACUGCAGACGAAGUUUAGUGAGCAAAGUUGAAGAGUUUGCGGAGACUCUGGUUAGUAAACUAGAUAGAAGUUGGAAAAAGGGCAUCUGCAAGACUUACCGCAUGCAAAAUUCUCAUACGUAGGUAGAAGAUAACGGAGAAGAACAUGAAGAGCAUGGAACCCAAGAAGAAGAGGAUGUUGAUGUCGAUGUUGAUUCUAUAGAUGGCGCUAUUGUUACAAUUCUUUUUGACAAUGGCUACUCUCAUGGUGUACAUUGGUUUUGCAGGUCACAUAUGAGUAGUAAGUGCGACUAUUUACACGGCUGGUUAUGAAGCAACAAGAAGCUAUACUUGUUUGAGCAUGUAGGUAAUGAAUGCUGAGCUUGUCUCCAGUCUUGUGCCUUUAAGAUUGUAUCUACUACUGCUAUUACACUUCACAUUACAACUGCAACUGCAGAAUUUCUAUGUUAUGAAAACUUAGGAAAUGUUUACAUACUUGUCAUUUUUUUGAUACUACGCACAGAAUUUGUAUGUCCUUAGAACUUAAGAAAUAUUUGUAGCUACAGAUUGGAACUUAAGAAAUUUAUAUGU